CCGCGCGAGGGGCGGCCCCGGCGCCCGAGGGGCAGCGGGCGGGGCGGCGCGUGCGCACUGCGGCCGCUCCGCUGCGGCGGCGGCGGCCGUGGCUGUUCCCGGCGGGAUCAGGUGGGAAAGAAAUGACAACCCCAAACAAGACCCCACCUGGUGCUGAUCCAAAGCAGUUAGAGAGGACUGGAACUGUUAGAGAAAUAGGCUCACAAGCAGUUUGGUCUCUUUCAUCCUGUAAGCCAGGGUUUGGAGUGGAUCAGUUACGAGAUGAUAAUCUAGAAACUUACUGGCAGUCAGAUGGAUCACAGCCUCAUUUGGUGAACAUCCAAUUUAGAAGAAAAACAACAGUGAAGACCUUAUGUAUUUAUGCAGACUACAAAUCUGAUGAAAGUUACACUCCAAGCAAGAUCUCCGUCAGAGUAGGAAAUAAUUUUCAUAAUCUCCAGGAAAUCCGGGUGUUAUGCUGCUUAAUGUCAUCUAUUGCAAUGAACUUUAAUAUGGGUUUAUGGAUAUUUAUACUACACUAUCGAAAUGCAGGUUUUCUUGAUUCUAUCCAAGAGUUUCUUAACUACAGGAAAAGGAAACUCACACCUUGUAAGAGAAUUCUCUUCAACAAACUGGAGCCAUUUCAUUUGGUAGGAUCAAAAGCAAGAACGUACCAAAACUAAAAACUAUGCAUUAAAUUAGUGAAGUGCAAAAGAUGCAAUGGAGACCUGCAGUUCUUCUUUACCAUCUUUCCUGCCAAGUCACCUCUCUUUGACACUGACAGUGAUAAUACUGAAAGUGGAAGGAUGGAUGUGCUAUUUUUACAUGUCAGAACCUGAUCCAAUAGAGCAGCAAGAUCCAUCAUGAAGAACAUGGUAUUCCCCCAGCUAAAGUAGCCAACACCCUUGGCUGUGUGGAUUUUGGCUGAGAUGGUGAGGAAUGCUGCAACCCAAGUGUGAUUCCACCGCCAACUCCAUCAAUGCUUCAUACUGAGAAUGGGUAAUUAGUUUUCAUUAAACACUUUAGCUGACACUGAAAAAUAUGAGUAUUGCUACAGAACACUAUUUGCGGGAUCUAUAUUGACAUUUUGGUUCAAUGUGCAUCAAAAUUAAUUUUAUGUUCACGUGGUGUCAAGGGUAAAACAGUGUCUGAAUGAUCUGCUUCUGGAAAUUUACUUACUACAGUCAUGGUGCUGGAAUAAGACAUGAAAGAGAAAGCUGAAUACAACUAUUAAAAAAAUGUUCAUUAUGUAAGUCAGUUCAAUAUAACUCUAGUUUUUUGUUUUAAGCCUAUUGGAAGUUAAUUUUCUGUUUGUAUUUUAAAUGUAUUUGUAUGUUGCCUCACAUAGUGACAAUCUGCAUUUGAUUUUGUCAUUUAAUUAAUAUUACAGUAGUCUAUGGAAUAACAUUAGAGUAAAUUUUAAGUAAACUAAGGAAAUACAGAGAUUGUAGAAGGAACAUUUAUUAAGGUACUGUUGUAUAUGGAGAAAAUGCAUGCUUCCUUCUAUUAUUAAAUUAAACAUCUCUGGGAAGUAAUUGAGACUUGUUGAACUCUGGUGUGAACUCUGAGCUAUAGAUAAUAUUCUAAAUGGUGAUUUCCUGGUUUUGUCUUAUGAAUAGUUCUAAGUAAAUUAGUAAAGAUUUAAUCUUAUUUUUUUUAAAAAAAGAAAAUGUUAAAUUAAUAGGGAUCCAUUUACUUAUUAGUUGUUUGGGUCUUAAUGGAAAUUUUAACUUUGUGAAAGGAAAACAUAAGCCAUUGCUCUCUAUAAGAUUGAAAAUUCCUAAAUUAUUGAAAAUUUGCAGAAUUCUUUGCUUUUGAAGUGUGCAUGCUAUAAGAAUUAAAGAAAAAGCUUCAUUAAAA